rnacentral:hammerhead_ribozyme from 1 species
AUCCAACUGACGAGUUUCAAAUAGGAUGAAACGCGCUUCCUGGAU